GGAGAGGAUGACUCUCAGCAGCUGCAAGCUUCUGUUCCAUCAGCUAAGGGACUUCAGAGGAGCACAGAGGGCCCCUUGGCCCAGGGUGCCAGCACCUGACCUGGGACUCACUCUGAUUGGCCUGGCUUGGGAGGAAGGCUACACCCUGAGCCAAUCUCUGAGGUCUGGGGUGGAACUUUGAUUGGAUGGGCUCUGGUCACCUGCCCACAAUGUGGAAUUGUAGGGGUAAGGGGAGGAUCAGCUCCACCUGAAUCCUAGGAGCAGAGUUAUGUGUCAGUUUGCUAGCUCUGCUAUGACAAACUACCACAGAAGGGGUGUCUUAAGUAACAAGAAGUUAUCUCCCCACUGUAUGGAGACAGGAAGUCCAAGAUCAAGAUCUUGUGUUUUUCUUUUACAGUGAUAAAAACUGUUUUCCGUAUGGAUAGGAGAGAAUCAAUGGAGAGGAAAAUGGUGAAGAAACAGGAAAGAAGGAAUACUUGAUGGUUGAGGUCCAGAAGACUGCUGAGGACACAAGAGUAUUCUGGCUGGAUGAGCUUUAAAGAGAACUUAAAUCAGCAAGGAUGAAAGAAUCAUCUUGACUAGGUCAUCUUCAUAUGCUGAGUUUCAGGUUUCACGGAGAUGAGUGGUCCCUGCUUCCAGGGGUCCGGCAGGUGGUCUACAUGGAUGAAGCUGGCCUGCAUUAAGCACAUCUGCAGGUGUUACAGGAAUGGUUGGAUUUAGGAGGAACUGGUGCACUCAGGUGUAUCAGCCCCAACAGAUUGGAUCUUGCGGAAUAUUGAAGCCAGGGUUGUGAGACAUUCCAGUUCUUCAAAAGAAGCCAGAAGCUUGGACUUCAUGUGAAAUAUCCUGAUUUUAUUUUGGUCUACAUUUCAAGGAGAAGGAAAAGCCCAGUCUAACAAAGACCCACCUGCAAGCCAGUCUUGGCCCAUGGACCACUAAAUUCUAACCUCUCCGCAUGAGAGCAAACAGUGGAGCACUGAAAAUGAUAGAGAUUUGGAAGCAGGAAGUAGACAUCAUCGGACCUUGGUUGAGGGAGUAUUAGUCACUGAGCCAGUAAGGCAAACACACAGUCAGGUGCACAUAUCAAGGGUCAAUAGACUAGGAACUGUCUGACUCAGCUGUUGUUCUAAAGCUGGAUUUUUACAGUUGCUACAAAUGAAGUCAUCAAUGGAAAAAAGGAGAAAGCCAGUGUCAUCUUUGAUCUUCUAAAGGUGCCUUCGGUCUCCACCCUGCCCUGACAGCACACGCUGAUGCACUGCCUGCUCCAAACAUAUCUUGGCAUCUUCCUCCAUCUUCCUGCCCCUCUUUACUUGCCCUCUGUUCCCUGGUACCAAAGCCUGAAGUGUGGGCUAGACAAAAGGGAGUGGCUUAAACUAGAAAUAGAAAAAAAGAGUUCUAUCCAAUUUCAUCCCCUUCCCCCAUGUUACCCCACCCUUAGACCUGAAGAAAAGGAUGGCAGUUUCCUAUGUUCAAAAGUAAGUCACAUUCCCUUAAUGCUGUAAUCUCCUUGGCCCCAUCUCUAACCUGGCAAGCCUGGGGAACACGGAAAGUUUAUAUAUCGAAAAAAGACUUUUAGAUUAGCUCAUGUUUUGUUUGGAAAACGUAUGACUCUGUUUUGAGAUAGUACAGUAAUGCAGUUCCUUUAUGGUGAUGAGGGGAAAAUGGUGACAUUUCCUACACAUAAUAGCCUCAUGGUUUCUUAGGAGGGAAAGCGUCUAGAGGAAAUCUGCAAAAAAAAUUGUUUCGUAAACUUAACAGAAACUUGAGAUAAAAAAAGUCAUUUUUGGCUCUAACUACAGUCAUUGCUUAGUACCAUGUGUGUAUU
ensembl:lncRNA